rnacentral:rRNA from 1 species
CCCUUUUUUUACAAAACAUGUCUUAUUGUUUAUUUAUAUUAGGUUUGACCUGCCCAAUGAUUGUUAUAAUUUAAUGGCCGCAGUAUCUUGACUGUGCGAAGGUAGCAUAAUCAUUUGUCUCUUAAUUAGGGACUUGUAUGAAUGGUUUGAUGAAAUAUUAACUUUCUUUAUAUUAAUGUUAUGAAUUUAAUUUUUGAGUUAAAAGGCUUAAAUUUUUUUAAGGGACGAGAAGACCCUAUAGAAUUUAAUUAUUUAUUGAUAUAUUGAUUUUUUUGUUAUUAAUAAUUUAUUAUGUUAAAAAUAAUUAUGUUGGGGCGACAGGGAAAUUUAAUUAACUUUCUUUAUUAACUUAAAAUUAUUGCUAUAUAUAUAUAAAGAUCCUUAUGUUUUGGAUUAUAAGAUUAAAUUACCUUAGGGAUAACAGCGUAAUUUUAUCAGAGAGUUCUUAUUGAUGAUAAAGUUUGCGACCUCGAUGUUGGAUUAAAAUAAGUUUUAAGUGCAGCAGCUUAAUGACUAGGUCUGUUCGACCUUUAAUUUUUUACAUGAUCUGGUUUUCAA